GCAAACUUGGUCAUUUAGAGGAAGUAAAAGUCGUAACAAGGUUUCCGUAGGUGAACCUGCGGAAGGAUCAUUAUUGAAUUAAACUUGAAUAGAUUGUUGCUGGCUUUUAGAAGCAUGUGCACGUCUAUGUCAAAUUUUCAACCCCAUGUGCACACUGUGUAGACCUGAAUAACACUUCGAGACUCUCUCUCGGUUUUUUAGAAUCGCUGGGUGAAAGGUCUAGCCUUUCUUGUGCUUUUCAGGUCUACAUAUUUUAUUCACUCCAAAUAAAUGUAUCAGAAUGCUUGAUAAAUGGGCGAUUCGUGCCUGUAACAAUACAUAUACAACUUUCAACAACGGAUCUCUUGGCUCUCGCAUCGAUGAAGAACGCAGC
rnacentral:misc_RNA from 1 species